rnacentral:rRNA from 1 species
GCAUGGUUGUCGUCAGCUCGUGUCGUGAGAUGUUGGGUUAAGUCCCGCAACGAGCGCAACCCUCGACCUUAGUUGCCAGCAUUCAGUUGGGCACUCUAAGGUGACUGCCGGCUAAAAGUCGAGAAGGUGGGGAUGACGUCAAAUCAUCAUGCCCCUUAUGACCUGGGCUACACACGUGCUACAAUGGGCGGUACAAAGGGUCGCGAACCCGCGAGGGGGAGCCAAUCCCAAAAAGCCGCUCUCAGUUCGGAUUGCAGGCUGCAACUCGCCUGCAUGAAGCCGGAAUCGCUAGUAAUCGCGGAUCAGCAUGCCGCGGUGAAUACGUUCCCGGGCCUU